GAGAUCAUGCCAAAGCUUUGCACUGAGAAGAACCAGUAAGGAAAGUUGGAUUGCCUGUUGCGCUUCUCCAUCCUGCGCCCCAACACCAGCAAGUCAAGCAGAUUCGCGGGAUGAUUAUUCCUCACUCAGAACUGGCAAGCGCUCUGGAGGAAGAACAGAUUCCAGUUUCUGCCAGCGCGCUGGAGGCCACAGGAUAUGUGUAGCAUGGGCGUGCAGAAGUCCCAGGGAAACCUGAAUCCGUGAGAAUGCAAAGAGAACAACAGAUUUUCCAUGACUGGUGGGAUAUUUUGACAGCGUCGGCAAGGCAUCAAAGAGACUAAGGUAGUAACAGGUGUCUUCCAAGUACCCUCAGAAGUUGCAUCAUACUGCAAUCGAGGUGUCUUCCAACAAUGUAGGGGCUUUUCUGUUGUUUUGCUGUGAG